rnacentral:rRNA from 1 species
UACGAAGGGGGCUAGCGUUGUUCGGAAUUACUGGGCGUAAAGCGUGCGCAGGCGGCUUCUCAAGUCAGGGGUGAAAGCCCAGAGCUCAACUCUGGAAUUGCCUUUGAGACUGAGUGGCUUGAGUACGAGAGAGGUGAGUGGAAUUCCCAGUGUAGAGGUGAAAUUCGUAGAUAUUGGGAAGAACACCGGUGGCGAAGGCGGCUCACUGGCUCGUAACUGACGCUCAGGCGCGAUAGCGUGGGGAUCAAACAGG